GAUGAACGCUGGCGGCGUGCCUAAUACAUGCAAGUCGAGCGAAUAUUCGAGGAGCUUGCUUCGCUACAGUUAGAGACGGACAGGUGAGAAACAGGUGGAAAACCGUCCUAAAAGACUCGAAUAACUUCGGGAAACCGGAGGUAAUAGGUGAUAAUAUCUUGAACCUCAAGUUUCAACAGUGAAGAACGGUGUUAGGGGCACUUGCGGAUCGAUUCGCGCGACAUUCGGUGGUUGGGCAGGUAACGGCUUACCAAGGCAACCAUGCCUACGAGACCUGAGAGGGUGAUCGGCCACACUGGAACUGAGCCACGGUCCAGACUCCUACGGGAGGCAGCAGUAGGGAACCUUCCGCAAUGGGCGAAAGCCUGACGGAGCAACGUCGCGUGAGUGAUGAGGUUCUUCGGUUCGUAAAACCCUGUUAUAAGGGAAGAAAAAAUGGGGAAGGAACUAUGCACGCCUUGACGGUACCUAAUCAGAAAGCCACGGCUAACUACGUG
rnacentral:rRNA from 1 species